rnacentral:rRNA from 1 species
UGGGGAAUCUUGCACAAUGGGGGCAACCCUGAUGCAGCGACGCCGCGUGAGCGAUGAAGCCCUUCGGGGCGUAAAGCUCUUUCGACCGGAACGAUAAUGACGGUACCGGGAGAAGAAGCUGCGGCUAACUACGUGCCAGCAGCCACGGUAAUACGUAGGCAGCAAGCGUUGUUCGGAGUUACUGGGCGUAAAGAGUGCGUAGGCGGGUUUCUAAGUUCGGUGUGAAAUCUCCCGGCUUAACUGGGAGGGUGCGCCGAAAACUGGUUGGCUGGAGUAUGGGAGAGGAAAGCGGAAUUCCUGGUGUAGCGGUGAAAUGCGUAGAUAUCAGGAGGAACACCUGCGGUGUAGACAGCUUUCUGGACCAAAACUGACGCUGAGGCACGAAAGCGUGGGUAGCAAACA